UUACGGCCACAUCAUGUUGAAACACUGGUUCCCAUAUGAUCACUGAAGUUAAGCAACAUCAAAUCUGGUUAGUACCUAGACGGGUGACCCCUUGGUAAUACUAGGUACUA